GCCGCUCGCCGCAAGACGCAUAGUGCAGCGUGCAGUUGUAUUUGGCGCCAAUUGAUUGAUUCACCCCACACGACCCACUUCAUUACCUAAUCAACGCUCCCACCACUCAAUUGCUUAAAUACCUAAUUAUCGAUUUGUUAUUGUUGUGAAAGUGAUGUAGUGAACGAGUUUAGUGUCAGUGGCGCGGAUAUUAUCACAUGCGGCAGUGUAAUCAAUCGAUCAAGCAGCGCUCAUUGUUUAGAAAUCGCAUUCUAUUAACCAAAAACGGUUCCGUUGUUUUAUUUUGUCUAAGUAUAUCAAUCAACUCGCUUGUGAGUAGACACCCUUACUGCUCGGCCGGGAGUUGCGCUUCGUGCCUCAUUCAGUGCGCCCGCGCCCGACGCCCGCGCUGCCAGCCCGCGCCGGCUGCGCUGCCCGUGCGUGUCAUGAAUCUUUUCACGCAGCCCCGCGUCACCGUCGACGCUGCGCUGCAGGCCAUCGAGAUCGUUGAGCCAGCGCCGGAGAACUGCCCCGCGGUCGCCCUGCCUCCCGAAGGAAACGUCAAGAUCCGUAACUACCGAAUGUUGAACGAAAACAUUUGCACGUAUUCCCCGACCGGCGAUAUAAAUACUUCUCCCGACAAAGGAAAACUAGUGUCCAAAUAUGACGUUUACUCCACUCUGUCUCCGCCGCGACAGAAAAUCUUGGAACUUUUGAGACCGGAGGACCCGGGCAGAGACGCGUUGGAGGCAAUAGUAAGGCCAGCGCCGCGUCGUGGGCUCGCACGGCCCUUCGACGAGGACACCAGAAGGUUCUUGCAGAGAGCGUUGCUGUCCCCGAGCCCGCAGAUAUCGAACACGUGCACACCAGAACCACGUCUCUCCGAAGCUACAGACCGGGACCAGAAAUCUAACGAGCAGCAAUCGAUAAAAUCCGAAAGAUCUCUGGCCGACGAGUUAAAAGAGGCAGAGGAGGAGGAAAAGGCGGGGGGCAUCAGACGCGACCUCCUCCGGGAGUUCAGAAAAAGAGAGGGAGGUACGAAGGAAGCAAUGGAGAGGGAGAGGAUGGGAAAGUUGGCCCUGUCGGUGGAGGAGGACGAGGAGGAGGAUUGCGGGCUGUCCGGUGCGGCGCGACGGCUGGACGCACUGCUAGCGGAGUCGCGCAGCCUGCACGAGGAGCUGGCGGGUAUCCACGAGGACAUGCAGGCGGAGAGUGCGCGGGCGCGGCGGUGUGCUGCGGCGGCGCGGCUGCUGGCGGCGGAGUCACGCGCGCUGCGCUACCUGGACGACGUGGUGGCACUGCUCAACGGCAACGUGGCCGCUGCCAGCCGCGCGCGGGCCUGGCCCUUCGCCAUCGGCCGGCGGGAGCCCGCCAGGAAUUACAUCGUCUGAUCUCACCUCACCUGAGCGAGCGCCGCUCGAACGCAGACAUGCCCGAUUCGGAAGCUCUUUGCGUUAAUACACGAAAUUACUGGGUCACAAUCAACUGGGACUUGUUAAAGCAUGCUACCCUUCAUAACACCACACCCACGGACCAAAAGUCGCACUUUCACCUCACGACACGUGUACGACACGAACCAGUUACAGACAACUAAAAAGUGCCAUAAUAUGGAGAGUGAAGAUAGCGGAGGUAUGUGACCUCUAAUCAUCGAAGCAGCGCACGCACUGAUAUCAUUACGCGAACGAUCUUCAUACUCUACCAUUGACACUAACUACGAUAAGAACAUUGAAAACAUGCCAAUUAAUCGACCGUUCGGUUUUCAUUUGAACAACUUGUGAGAGUUUUAAUUACUUAUUAUUAAAAUUAGUUGAGGAUAGAGUUAUAAAUAUGCAUACUAGCUAUAAACAUAUCGAAUUAUAUUGCAUAGCCACAUCGUAGUAGAGUAAGUACAUUGGAAACUCAAUUGUGAUUAAAAAAAACGUUAGCUUUUAAAUAUACUUAGAUGAUUUAUAACAUAUUAUUUGAUCUCUUUAAAACUACUAAAAUUACAGAAACCUAGCACCUUUUCUUGUAUUAAUAUUUCAUAUAAAAUGUAGAG